GUGAAUCAUCGAAUUUUUGAACGCAAAUUGCACUCUUUGGUAUUCCGGAGAGUAUGCCUGUUUGAGGAUCAGUUUAAAUAAAAAUCGGUUUGUUUGCUGCCUUUCUUGGUGACGCACCGGAUUUGGUUCGUCUUUCCUUCUGUUAAAUGACCUAAAUUAUUUCAUGAUUUUUUUCGCACGUAUUUAAAUGAUUUUACGUACGGCUGCGAUAUCAAAGACUAGAUGUAUCAUCCC
rnacentral:misc_RNA from 1 species